rnacentral:rRNA from 1 species
GACGAACGCUGGCGGCAUGCCUAACACAUGCAAGUCGAACGGAACUUGUUGAAUGAAGUUUUCGGAUGGAAGCUUGUAAACUUAGUGGCGGACGGGUGAGUAACACGUGAGCAACCUGCCUAUCAGAGGGGGAUAACGAUUGGAAACGAUCGCUAAUACCGCAUGACAUAGCGGAAUCGCAUGGUUCUGUUAUCAAAGAUUUUAUCGCUGAUAGAUGGGCUCGCGUCCGAUUAGAUAGUUGGUGGGGUAACGGCCUACCAAGUCGACGAUCGGUAGCCGGACUGAGAGGUCGAACGGCCACAUUGGGACUGAGACACGGCCCAGACUCCUACGGGAGGCAGCAGUGGGGGAUAUUGCACAAUGGGGGAAACCCUGAUGCAGCGACGCCGCGUGAGGGAAGACGGGUCCUCUGGAUUGGUAAAACCUCUGUCUUCGGGGACGAAACGAGACGGUACCUGAGGAGGAAGCCACGGGCUAAACUACGUGCCAGCAGCCGCGG